UACGGGGGGGGCAAGCGUUGUUCGGAAUUACUGGGCGUAAAGGGCUCGUAGGUGGCCAACUAAGUCGGACGUGAAAUCCCUCGGCUUAACCGGGGAACUGCGUCCGAUACUGGAUGGCUUGAGUUCGGGAGAGGGAUGCGGAAUUCCAGGUGUAGCGGUGAAAUGCGUAGAUAUCUGGAGGAACACCGGUGGCGAAGGCGGCAUCCUGGACCGACACUGACACUGAGGAGCGAAAGCCAGGGGAGCAAACGGG
rnacentral:rRNA from 1 species